rnacentral:rRNA from 1 species
UUACUAUAUUAUUUCCACAAAAUCAAAACAAAGAGUUAAGAAACAAAACAAAGAUUAAGUAAAAUUUCAUCAGUAAUUGUCGAAAGGCAUUACACACAACCAAAUAACAUCCUAGACAGGGGAUCACUAGGCUCAUGGGUCGAUGAAGACCGCAGCUAACUGCGUGUUGUCAUGUGAACUGCAGGACACAUGAACAUCGACAAGUUGAACGCAUAUCGCACUUCUUGCUUUUUAUUCUAUUUAGUUAGAAUGGCUUGAGGUUCAUAUGGUUGAGUGCUAUAAUUUAUCAAUAGAACUGUUCUUUCCUUAAAACCGAAAGACGUACGUGUCAACUAUUAGACUCGCAAGAGAUUAAUAUUUGAUUAAAUCACGAGAUAUGAAAAAUUAAAUAGCAUACAAUGACUUGCUUAUUGGUAGCCUAUUUAGCAUUUUAUAUAAUACUAUCAUUUCUUAAUUGAAAUUAAUAUGUAUAUUAUAAAGCAACAUGCUGAAUGAAGGUGACUUGAGUAUAGUAAUAUGAGCUAUUUAAAAAUACUAUAAAUUAUACAUAGCCUCAACUCAUGUGAGACUACCCCC